GACGAACGCUGGCGGCGUGCCUAACACAUGCAAGUCGAGCGAAGUUUUCAAAGUAGAUUUCUUCGGAUUGAAACUUUGAUUAUCUUAGCGGCGGACGGGUGAGUAACGCGUGAGAAACCUGCCUUUCACAAAGGGAUAGCCUCGGGAAACUGGGAUUAAUACCUUAUGAUACUGAUUUUUCGCAUGGAAGAUUAGUCAAAGCGCAAAGCGGUGAAAGAUGGUCUCGCGUCCCAUUAGUUAGUUGGUGAGGUAACGGCUCACCAAGACCGCGAUGGGGUAGCCGGCCUGAGAGGGUGAACGGCCACACUGGAACUGAGACACGGUCCAGACUCCUACGGGAGGCAGCAGUGGGGAAUAUUGCACAAUGGAGGAAACUCUGAUGCAGCGACGCCGCGUGAACGAUGAAGGCUUUCGGGUCGUAAAGUUCUGUCCUAAGGGACGAUAAUGACGGUACCUUAGGAGGAAGCCCCGGCUAACUACGUG
rnacentral:rRNA from 1 species